rfam:Corchorus capsularis cultivar CVL-1 contig15104, whole genome shotgun sequence.
GGGUGCGAUCAUACCUGCACUAAUGCACCGUAUCCCAUCAGAACUACGCAGUUAAGUGGACUUGGGCGAGAGUAGUACUAAGAUGGGUGACCUCCUGGGAAGUCCUCGUGUUGCACCCC